rnacentral:rRNA from 1 species
GUGGCAGCCGCCGCGGUAAGACGGGGGGGCGAGCGUUGUUCGGAUUUAUUGGGCGUAAAGGGUGUGUAGGUGGUUGCUUAAGUCGGGCGUGAAAAAUCCUUGGCUCAACCAGGGACUGGCGUUCGAAACUAGGCGACUUGAGUACGGGAGAGGAGAGUGGAAUUCCUGGUGUAGCGGUGAAAUGCGUAGAUAUCAGGAGGAACACCGGUGGCGAAGGCGACUCUCUGGCCCGAUACUGACACUGAGGCACGAAAGCUGGGGGAGCGAACGGGAUUAGAUACCCCGGUAGUCCCAGCCGUAAACGAUGAGCACUAGGUGUAGGAGGUUUUUAUCCUUCUGUGCCGUAGCUAACGCGUUAAGUGCCCCGCCUGGGGAGUACGGUCGCAAGGCUGAAACUUAAAUGAAUUGGCGG